GAUUCAGGAGUUUUUCUGCAAAAGAAGCGUCAGCUCAGAGAAGCCGGCUGGGGAAUGAAGAGGGAAACCUCCACCCGGUCGCCGCGCCCGUCGCCCCGCCGGAGGGGCCGUGCGGGCUCCUGGGGGAACCGCCGGGGCGGGCGGGGCGGAGGGGACAGCGGGCGCGGCGACCCUGCGCCUUGGGGGCCGGAGGGGGGCGCCACAACCUAAAUUAUCACCAGGGACUGGGCCCCGCACGCUCGUGGCGCCCUUGGAGCUUGGGAAGUGGGUGUGAGUCCUGAGGAAAAGGGUGUGAAGGGGAGCACUUUGGGGAGCACAGGGAAGAAUGGAAGAAAUGGGGGAGCAAGUCGUGGAGGAGACUGGAGGGAAGAUGGACCGAGUAGGAAGCCGCCUGAGGAGGUCCCGCCUGUCGUAGCCGCCGUGACCUGGUCGCUGCCACAGACGGGCUCGCUUGGCUUGAUGUAGGAGACGAACCAGCACUGGUUGAUAUUGUUGAUGCAAACGACCUGGAGUUUCCUUUCCAAGGCCUGUGCCAAGCGAUGGAGGAGGUGGUACUUUGACUCCAGCAAGUAGAACUGAUAAGCACGGUCAGACCGACCCACCAGGAGUCAAAACAUCACCUCAUCGCCUGGUGACUAAGGACAACAGCUGCCGGCUGCCGCCUCCAGGCCUGCUUGGAGCUGCAUUCCAUCCCCAGCCUCACCCCACCCCCUCCUCUUACAGUCCUGUCCCUGCACCUGCUGGGAGAUGGGAUCUGAACGCCUGUCAGCGCCCUGCCUUCUUGGUUGGCAGGCCUCCUCAGUAAACGCCUUCUAGGAGGCAACCCGGCCUUCCUUACGGGACACGGUGACGGUGACGGCAGCCCGAGCCCCGCCCUCUCCCGGGGGCUUCCCGGUCACAUCAGGUCACGGAAGGAAAGUGUCCCUCAAGGCUAGACUUUCCUAAGAGUGACGCGUGUGUGGCUGCGGCAGGCAGCAGUGGCUCACACGGGCAGGCGCAGUGGCGUUAGGAUGUAGCCGGAAAGGGACAAAGUGACUGCAUGCGGGGCCCUGCUGUGCGGGAGGCAGGAUGUGAGCCUCCGCACAUCCCAGCUGAUUUCAGCCAUGGCUUCAUCACCCAGCGAAUGAUGCGACAUGCUGCCUUCUAGCCCGCCAGAGAGUUGUAUGAAGCGACUGGGCUAAGGAAUGGGAAGAGGGCUCAGGGACACGGAAAACGCGCCACCCAUAGGCGACGACUCAGCUUUUAUGGGGGCGUGAUUCCCAGGCCAGCCCCCUCCGGCCCCCAACUCCCAGCGGUCAGAGCUGGGGGCACGGGGCUCCUCCCAUUGCUGGUCCCGGAGGCCAGGAGGCAGGCUCACCUUGGUCUCUUGGACGCUCGCCCCUUCGCCGGUGGGAACAAGGAAGUCUGGAAGACAAAACAGCUUCAGAAAGGUCCCUCUCAGCCUCCGCCCCAGGGAAGAGCCCCCAGGGAAGAGCUCGGGGCAGGGACCUGGCUGGCCGCCAGGAGCUUUGAUCCCUCAGAUGAGGCUGCCCGGAGGGUGCCCGGAGGGUGCCCGGAGGGGGGAGAACUGGGGAGCGCCCGCCUUCGCCCGCAUGCAUGUGAGAGGAGACCUCCGGUAUACUUGGAUCUUGUUCUUAAAAUUUUAGUCAAAUAAUUUCUACCUUUUGGACUGGGUUGUGGAAUCCAUUCACAUAAAGUUUUAUGAUGUAGUUA